GAUGAACGCUAGCGGCAGGCUUAACACAUGCAAGUCGAGGGGCAGCACUUGUAGCAAUACAUGGUGGCGACCGGCGCAAGGGUGCGUAACGCGUGAGCAACAUGCCCGUAUCAGGGGGAUAAUCCAGGGAAACUUGGUCUAAUACCCCAUAGCAAUUAUUUGAGGCAUCUUAAAUAAAUUUAAAGCUUUGGUGGAUACGGAUUGGCUCGCGUGACAUUAGCUAGAUGGUAAGGUAACGGCUUACCAUGGCUACGAUGUCUAGGGGUUCUGAGAGGAAGAUCCCCCACACUGGAACUGAGACACGGUCCAGACUCCUACGGGAGGCAGCAGUGAGGAAUAUUGGACAAUGGAUGGAAAUCUGAUCCAGCCAUGCCGCGUGCAGGAAGACGGCCCUAUGGGUUGUAAACUGCUUUUGUGUGGGAGCAAUAAGGUCUAUGCGUAGACUGAUGAGAGUACCAUACGAAUAAGC
rnacentral:rRNA from 1 species